UACGUAGGGGGCAAGCGUUGUCCGGAUUUAUUGGGCGUAAAGAGCUCGUAGGCGGUUCGGUAAGUCGGGUGUGAAAACUUUGGGCUCAACCCAAAGCCUGCACUCGAUACUGCUGUGACUUGAGUCCGGUAGGGGAGUGGGGAAUUCCUGGUGUAGCGGUGGAAUGCGCAGAUAUCAGGAGGAACACCGAUGGCGAAGGCAGGUCUCUGGGCCAUUACUGACGCUGAGAAGCGAAAGCAUGGGGAGCGAACAGG
rnacentral:rRNA from 1 species